GGACAUUGAAGUCUGCAGAGGUUACUGCUGUGUUUUUGUUUGUCUGUGCCCUGCCCCCAGAGGUGGAGCCUACAGAGGCAGGCAGGCCUCCUUGAGCUGUGGUGGGCUCCACCCAGUUGGAGCUUCCAGGCUGCUUUGUUUACCGAAUCAAGCCUGGGCAAUGGCGGGCGCCCCUCCCCCAGCCUCGCUGCCGCCUUGCAGUUUGAUCUCAGACUGCUGUGCUAGCAAUCAGCGAGACUCCGUGGGCGUAGGACCCUCCGAGCCAGGUGCAGGACAUAAUCUCGUGAUGAGCCUUUUUUAAGCCUGUCGGAAAAGCGCAGUAUUCAGGUGGGAGUGACCCGAUUUUCCAGGUGCCGUCCGACACCCCUUUCUUUGACUAGGAAAGGGAACUCCCUUACCCCUUGGGCUUCCUGAGUGAGGCAAUGCCUCGCCCUGCUUCGGCUCGCGCACGGGGUGCGCACCCACUGACCUGCACCCGCUGUCUGGCACUCCCUGGUGAGAUGAACCCGGUACCUCAGAUGGAAAUGCUGAAAUCACCCGUCUUCUUCGUCGCUCACGCUGGGAGCUGCAGACAGGAGCUGUUCCUAUGUGGCCAUCUUGGCUCCUCCCUAUGAACUCUUUUUUACAGAUGCAGAUGUCUUUCCCUCCCUCUGUGCCCUGGCUCACUCAUUCUUGGAACGUGCACCUUGAGAUUUCUGAGCCAAUGUGUAAGAAGUCCAACCACCCUGACUUAAAUGCUGAGUCACCGGUGCCUGGAGAGACCCCAUGGAGAGAGCACAGUGAGACAGAAUCACUUGAGGAGGCUAAGCUCUUCCAGCCCAUGCUGUUGGAACCUCUCUAGCCCAGACACCAAACU
rnacentral:lncRNA from 1 species